AUUCUAUGCUCUGUUGGUCUCCUGAAGGGACUCAGUGAAUUCUUGGAGGAGACACCUUGCAACACGUUCCUGUGCAAAUCCUGCAGGAAAUCUAGGGGUUCUCCCUGGACUUGGUUGGCUUUAACCCCUUCUCCUGGCCUCGUGUAUGCCCCAUAUCAGGAGAGAGGACAGCUUCAGUAAAUGUACUAGGAUCCAGAGAGGCUGGAGUGCAGUGACAUGAUUUUGGCUCACUGCAACCUCUGCCUCUCAGGUUCAACCGAUUCUUGUGCCUCAGAUUCCCAAGUAGCUAGGAUUGCAGGUCCUGAAAAGAUUGCAUCAGCCCUUUAGCCAUUACCUGCCUCUUGAUGAAGCGUCAGAGCAGGUGUGCAUACACCUGCCAGCACAGAAAAACCUUAACGUAAAGUUG
rnacentral:sRNA from 1 species